AAGGUUUCUAUGAUUUCCCUUGUCUAUCACUUUAGCAUUGGCAUGGACUCAAGACCAUAUAAUUGACUUUGCCAAUGCUAAAGUGAUAGACAAGGGAAAUCAUAGAAACCUU